rnacentral:lncRNA from 1 species
AUCUAGUCCUAAGGUCGAUUUGAACUUAAUAGCCUAAAAAUUAGAUAAAGUCGAUCUUCUUAUAGAUAAAUAUCUAGCUCUAGAUCUACAAUCUCCUGUGCAAUACACACCAUCUCCCAAUUAUCAAGAGAUUUGUUCUAUCUGUGCUAGCCCAGCCCAUCAUGUGAGUGAAUGUCCUACGGUUGCACAGUUUUCACCUUUCAUUCAAGAACAAGUUCAAGCUGCCUA